rnacentral:rRNA from 1 species
CCCGUAAACCACUGUGAACCUUACCUAUCGUCGUUGCCUCGGCGGGUGCCUCCGGGCGCCCGCCGCAGGCCUACAACUCUUGUCUAUGAAGUUAGCAUCUCCGAGCAAACAGCAAACGAGUUAAAACUUUCAACAACGGAUCUCUUGGUUCUGGCAUCGAUGAAGAACGCAGCGAAAUGCGAUAAGUAAUGUGAAUUGCAGAAUUCAGUGAAUCAUCGAAUCUUUGAACGCACAUUGCGCCCGCCGGCACUCCGGCGGGCAUGCCUGUUCGAGCGUCAUUUCAACCCUCAGGCCCGGCCUGGCGUUGGGGUCCUGCGUCGCAGGCCCCUAAAGACAGCGGCGGUUGCGGCCCGGGAGCCGAGCGCAGUAGCAUACUAUUCGCUCCGGUACCGGGUGGCAGUCCGGCCCGUAAAACAAACCACUAUGCACUGGUUGACCUCGGAUCAGGUAG